GACGAACGCUGGCGGCGUGCUUAACACAUGCAAGUCGAACGGAAAGGCCCUGCUUUUGUGGGGUGCUCGAGUGGCGAACGGGUGAGUAACACGUGAGUAACCUGCCCUUGACUUUGGGAUAACUUCAGGAAACUGGGGCUAAUACCGGAUAGGAGCUCCUGCUGCAUGGUGGGGGUUGGAAAGUUUCGGCGGUUGGGGAUGGACUCGCGGCUUAUCAGCUUGUUGGUGGGGUAGUGGCUUACCAAGGCUUUGACGGGUAGCCGGCCUGAGAGGGUGACCGGCAACAUUGGGACUGAGAUACGGCCCAGACUCCUACGGGAGGCAGCAAUGGGGAAUAUUGCACAAUGGGCGGAAGCCUGAUGCAGCAACGCCGCGUGCGGGAUGACGGCCUUCGGGUUGUAAACCGCUUUCGCCUGUGACGAAGCGUGAGUGACGGUAAUGGGUAAAGAAGCACCGGCUAACUACGUG
rnacentral:rRNA from 1 species